GCCCCUGUAGCUCAGUAGUAGAGCGACAGUCUCGUAAACUGUAGGUCGAGGGUUCAAAUCCCUUCAGGGGCU
rnacentral:tRNA from 1 species